rnacentral:rRNA from 1 species
UACGUAGGUGGCGAGCGUUGUCCGGAUUUACUGGGCGUAAAGGGCGUGCAGGCGGUUUGUUAAGUGCAGGGUGAAAGCUCCCCGGCUCAACUGGGAGAGGUCCUUGCAUACUGGCGAACUCGAGGGAGGCAGAGGAAAGUGGAAUUCCCGGUGUAGUGGUGAUAUGCGUAGAUAUCGGGAGGAACACCUGUGGCGAAGGCGGCUUUCUGGGCCUUACCUGACGCUGAGACGCGAAAGCGUGGGGAGCGAACCGG